rnacentral:tRNA from 1 species
GCCGAAGUGGUGAAAUUGGUAGACGCGCACGCUUGAGGGGCGUGUGGGGCAACCCGUGCCGGUUCGACUCCGGCCUUCGGCACCA